UACGGCCGCAUCACAUUGAAACACUUGAUUCCGUACGAUCCCCGAUGUUAAGCAAGGUUGAAUCUGUACCUAGAUAGGUGAGCGCUUGGGAAUACCAGUGGGUGUAA